rnacentral:lncRNA from 1 species
UAUGGAAAACUGAGUGUGUUGAACAGGGUUUCCUUAAGUACGUAAACAUGGUUUAAUUAUGUGGGUUCUGAAAAAGGAUAGCAGCCUCCUAUCAAGAUGUGUCCUUCUGUUUUCCUUCACUGUCCGGCCAGCCUGUAACCCCCUCACCUGUCUGGACAGGAAGGAGGCCCAUGGUCUGGUCGGUCUGAGGCCAUGGCUGGCCCUCCUUUGGCUGAGGCUUAGCCCCUAGAACCCUCUGAACUGUUACUUUUGUAAGAGAAUGUAAACGGCGAGGCAAAAAUGAGUAAUGUCAGUAGUAUGUAUGGUUUGGGGUCAAGGGAUUUCAUUUUUGCUUCUGUGAAAAGAGUUUUCUAGGAACUCAAGGAGUUCAAAGGACUCAUCUGAGUCUGGUAGUUUGGGAUUUCAUGCAGGAGUUUCCUAUAAAAGUCCCCAAAUUUCUACCUGGAGCAUGGGAUGUGUAUCCCAUCAU